CUUUCUCUCUAUUGUGUGUGCAUGCGCGCACACACACACACACACACACACACACUAACAUGCAGAAUAUGUCCAGAUUAUAUAUAGCAAAUGAGAACAGGCCUCAGAGCAGCAUAUUGAUUGGGCUCUUUAGGAAAGGCUGUUUCCGAUAUGGAAACUGAAAACCUUACAGGCAGUAGUGACAGGCCAGGCAGCAGCCAUUGAUCUCAUGCUGUCACUGCCAAGAGGGACAACAUGGGAGGGUGUUGCAGACAUUAAGCACACAGGAGCAGUUAUAAGCUUGUACUAGUUAAAGCGUCCCAAGUGUGACAGGAACAAAGACAGAAGAGGGAAGCACUUUUGCUGCCAUUCUAUUUCUCUACAGACCAAGGGCAAAGCUAAAGACACUCCUAGAACUGAAGACACUGCUAAAAGCUGCUGAGGACUAUUUCUGUGACAAAAACAAAGACAGAAGAAGGGAGCACUAUUGUUGCCAUUCUAUUUCUCUGCAGACCAAGGGCAAAGCUGGAGGCACUCCCAGAACACUCCUGAAGACACUGCUAAAAGUGCUGAGGUUCCUAUAAGCUUCCGAGGGAGAUACUUUGGAUCAGGACCCAGCACAUGGCUUCCCCGCUUCCCUGCCUUUAGCUUUCUCCCUCUGCUGACAUGUCUCUGCCUCUCUCUCUCUGCUGAACUGGACAUGCCUCAACUGCGCCCCCUAGAGGAUUGCGCCUUCUGCAAAUGUGUAGUUUGCUUAAUGCUUGAGCCGCCCCUGCCUCUACAACUACUUCACUAUGCAAUUUUUCUCUUACAUCCAGCUGUCAUCAUAUGUGAUCCAAUGCUAUACAGGCAACCAUAAGGGACAACUUUAAUUAGACUUCAUGAUACGUUAGAGCAUUAUGAGCAGGAAGGCACAGCAAUGGGCCACAAAAGGAAUUCUGGUUCACAUCUACUUAAAUAUGCAAUCUGGUAUGAUGCUUUACUCAAGGCUUUCUUUGCCCUCCAUGCUAUGCACCCCUACCAAUAACAUUCAUCUUUGGACACAGAAUAUUUGUGUGUAUAAAAGCACACCCUAAGGGAGAGUCACAAAGUAAGAUAAUGCAAACAGGAAGUCAACAGGGCUUAUGCUGGGCUAGGGAGCUGCUGAAACAGGCCUUUGAGAUGCUCUGGCAUUGGCCUUGCCCCAACAAGCUCCUUGGCCACUUUCCUUACUAUAGUAUUUUCUUCGGGUCCCAACUAGUACAGAACAAACAACCACACAAUAACAUAGCUAUUCUACUCCUAGACUGCAGAGCAAUAGUCAGAUCUACACUCCUCCAAGAUAAGUCCCGAAACUGACUCAGCAGAGCUUCUACCAAUAACAAGCAAGCAUAAAAACAAUUGUUGGAAUCAAAAAAUUUCUUGUAUUUCCCUUUUAAUUGCACAGAGGAGCAAGACAAAUUAGGGUGGUUUGUCCAUAGAAAAUGAAGGAAUUUCACUAACAUAAUAUCUGAGAAGUUUUCCUCUUAGAAUGGAGGAAAGCCUCAGUUGCUCCAAGGAAUACAAAGCUGACUCAGAUGAAUGAUACGUUAAAUACAACUAACUUCUCUGUAUGUAUGUAGUCUAGCGAAGUGACUAGGAAAAAGGCUAAAAACAAAGCUAGUGGAAAUAACCUUACAGUGACAGCCAGAUAUAGUAAGGACACAAAUACAUUUUCCUGCUUUCCUCUUAUUUCAUAAAAGUGUCUUUCAGAGUAUCAUUGUAAGAAUGCUGGAAAUAACAAGAACAUCCCAAGUGCGGUUACUAUAAAAUAAGGAACUUACAGACCCAAAGUAAUGUUUUGUCCCAACAUGUCUGUCCUCUUGAUUCAAGUUUCUUGAUGGCAUCUAACAGAUGUGGCCAGUGAUGAUUGAAACCUGAGAAAGGAAACUCUGUGAAUUACUAACCAGCUUGACACUUGGAAACACAUUAAACACCUACCACCAUAUGAAAGAACACAACCUAAAGUGAACAUAAGGUAAAGGUAAAGGUUUUCCCCUGAAGUCAAGUCCAGUCAUGUCUGACUCUGGGGGUUGGUGCUCAUCUCCAUUUCUAAGCCGAAGAGCCAGCGUUGUCCGUAGACACCUCCAAGAUCAUGUGGCCGGCAUGACUGCAUGGAGCGCCGUUAUCUUCCCGCCAGAGCGGUACCUAUUGAUCUACUCACAUUGGCAUGUUUUCAAACUGCUAGGUUGGCAGGAGCUGGAGCUAACAGCGGCCGCUCCCGGGGAUUGAACCUGGGACCUUUCGGACUCCAGCUCAGUGCUUUAACGCACUUCACCACCGGGGCUCCUCCGGUGAACAUAGACUAGAAAAACAGGUUUUCUAUAAUGAAGUACAUCAAGAUACAGUUCACAUAAUCAUAUAAUCUUAACCGCAAGGGCUAUUCAGUCCCAACCCCAUUCUGCUAUGCAGAAACACACAAUUAAAGUACUUCUGACAGAUGGCCAUCCAGCCCUAAUUUAAAAACUUCAGAGAAGGAGGCUCCACUACAAUCUGAGGCAGCAUACUCUACUGUUAAACAGCUUUUACUGUCAUGAUAUUCUUCCCAAUAGUUAGGUGGAAUCUUUUUUCCUGAAGCUUGAAUCCAUUGUUCUGUAUUCUAGUCUCUAGAGCAGCAGAAAACAAGCUUUCCCCCUCCUUAAUAUGACAUCUUUCAAAUUUUUAUACAUGGCUAUCAUAUCCUCAUCUCAGCCUUCACUUCUCCAAGAUAAACAUACUCAAUAGAAUAGAAGAAUAGUAUUUUGAAAUAAUUCCUUUAAAAAUCGAACAAAAUUUGGAAGAAUUUUGAAAGAUGUGUUUAUUUCUUGAUAAAUAUUUGCAUUGUGAUAGAAGAUUUCCAUGCAUUAUACACAGGUUCAUUGUUCUAGUCUCUUAGCUGAAUAUGGACAGAUCUUGGAAAUCAUAAGCUUCAAAUAACUACUGAUCUAAUACUAGUUAUUUUCAAUGAAUAAAAUAUAACUAUAGUACAAGUAUAUUAGCAUUUAAACAAUAACUUCACUGUGGUAUAAAUGCAACUUUCUAAACUUUUAUAGUUAUGAGGGAUGGCCUCAUUAAGUGAUAAGAAGAGGACUAUCACAUGGGGUUUAAGUGUUGGUUCUUACUGUGGCUUCUGCUGGUGCUUCAUACUCUGUAUGGGUGUGCCAAUGAUGGUUAGGUAGAUGCGAGUGUGUUUUAUGCCUCGUAGUAUUUAAAUGUUUAAUAACAUAAGUAAUCUAUUUUUAGAAUCAAAAGAGUAGAGUUGCUUUAAAAAAUAACAAUGAAGGCAAAGGUAACUUGGGGAUGGGCUGAAACUGUAAUAGCAAUUAAUUACUAAUUUAAAACUUUUCAUGCUUCAGGUAUAACAACUACAACAGACCAAUUUAAUUUGCAGAGAAUUAAAGAAGACAGGUGCUUUGUAGUUUAUUAAAAGCAUACUUCUUUUAACAGGGUGCACAGAACCAGAAGGUUGGUUCUGUUUGGUUUAGAAAGUAAUCUUAUUAAAGGACAACCACAGAAAAUAGCACGUCACCCCUUUAAAUACAAAGCAAAUUUGGUAGGAUUCAAAAUCAAAGUUAUGGAAGCUUUGGGUAAAAACUUUACUCUUUUAAGAUCUCUUCUAUUACAUUUAAGCAAAGUAUUCUAUGAACAAGUAAGCUCUCUCUCCACUCCUUAGAUUACUGUCUGUAUUGGCCCUAUCCCAAGAUGCCCUAAGUCAUAGAUUUAUGUUAUCGUACACAACCAUCUCAACAUGCUGAAGCUCCUCUGCUAUCCUGAUUCAUUAGCCAUCAAUGCAGAGUCACAGUUUACUCAGGUAAUGUUAGAAAAAAAGUUCCCAAAAAGCAGUUAACAGAAUUUUAGACCCAAACAUAAAUAAAACUUAAUUACAGAUUUUCCUUGGUCCAAAGUCACCCACACUGAUGUGUGGAGGAAGAAUAUUCAGAGUCAGAGGAAGAAUAUUCAGAGUCUAGGGUAAGGGUUUUUUUCUUUGGGAAUCCAAGAGAGAUUUCAUACAUUCUGAAAAGUUAUAGAGACAAAUCCAAAUAGCAACCACAGUAUCUUCACUUUACUAACUUUUUCCUUCAAUUUAAGCAUCACUAGACCAUGGAAGAUUGCAAAUAAAUACUAGGUGCUAUAUUCAGGGGAAAGCAUUUCCAAAAUCACCUUUGAGUAUUCUCUGCCUAAAAAAAUCCUAUACAUUUCAUGAUCACCAUUAGUUCACAAAUAAUUCAAAGGCACUGAUACAAAACAAAAAACAGAAGAACCCAUCCGGAAAGGUUCUUACUAUUCCAAAUAAAAUAGUUCAAGAAAACAUUUUCAGAACUACCCAUGUUCCUCUGCUGCUCAAAAUAGGUCUAUUUUCAGCUCAUGUGUACUAUUACUGUCCAUCCUUAAAUCAUGUUUUAUUUUACUGCACUGUAUUAAGUUUGCUUAGCACCUCCCAUUCUAAGCCUAUUGUAAACUUUAUCAACUAUAGACUAUCACUGUUCCAAAGUGCUCUAUUCCCCUAAAAUACAAAUAGAUUCAUCAUGUUGCUGCAUAGCUGUGGAAAAAAACAGGUUGCAACAGGAGGUUAGAGGUUUAGGUAAUCAGGUUUUAAAGACACAGGGGCAACCUUCUGAUGAUCGUUGUUGUUCUUAAAAACACUUAUCCCAUUCAGCAAGAGCCAGUUCAGAGAUGAGCUCAGUUUCUUCAAAUUUAUAGUACCCACUUCAGGAUAUGAGAACAGCAGGUUGGCACCUAUCAGGCUGAUGAAAACCAAAGGCAGUUAUGAUGCUAAAAUAUGGAGAUGAAUUAAAACAUGUCAGCAAGUACUAGAUUUACGCAAGUCGGUACUGUUCCACUAUCCAGGAAAGGUCAAAAGGGGGUGCUAGACAGAGAAAGGUAGUCCAUUUGGUGUGGGGGGGGGGGGGGAGGUUGAAGGAUUUAAACAACUUCCCCCUGUGUUCCUGUUAUUACUCCCACCCAUGUCAUGGUUGUGGAAACAACCCUCAUUUAUGAAAUGGGAAGUGGGGAGGAGGAAUAACCAGCUAGAACAGGGGAAAUGGUUUUCCUCAUUCUACUCCCCUCUCCAUAAAAUAGACUAUCCUUCUCUGUCUAGCACCCCCUUUUAGCCUCCGCCCAGAUAAUAAAAUAGUACCAGCAAGUCUAAUGCUCACCUUUUUUGGCUAAAUUACAUUGCCACAAUUGAGGUGUGCAUUGGAUUCAAUGGCACAUUAGAAUUGAGCAAAUAACCCCACCUGUGUGAAAAGACCCAGAGGAACCCGGAUCCCCUGAACCUAGCCAGAAAAGGGGGGGGGGGGGAGGCAAAGAAGCUGCUCCUGGUGGUGGUGGUGGCAGCCUCAAGGUUCUGUGGUGCCCAGAGAAGGAGGCAGAACACCCACCUGGUGACCCAGUCAUUCCUGCUGCUUAGCUGCAGAUCCUGCCCCCGAGGGCUCUCAAGGUCUCCCACCCACCCCUCCUAGACUCAGUCUCAUGAGGUUCCUAACUGGCCUUAUUCACGAAGCCUGCAAAACCUUCCUCUUGGUUUCAAAAGCCUUGGGAAUGAUACUAGCUGGGAUUUGUGUAAGGCUGGUGAACUCAGCCUGACAGAGCGACAUGGCUUCCCAAAUGGCUUCAUUCAUGCUGCCUCCCUCCCUGAUGUGUUAUGCUUGUACUGUUGGGUGCAUUACAUUUGAGGGUAAAUCCAUCUUUGUAAUGUGCACCCUCAAAUUUGAGGUGCGCAUUACAUUCAAUGGCAUUCGAUUAUACUCCAAUAAAUACAGUUCUCUGCAGGAUCUAGUCCGUAAAUUCAAGCCUGUAACAUUAUCUUGGUACAGAAUAAAAUCAAGUAGAAUUUGACAAUUUUUUCCUCUGUUUAGUUUUCAUUACCCUGGUAGGUAAAGGUAAAGGUUUCCCCUGACAUUAAGUCUAGUCAUGUCUGAUUCUGGGGGUUGGUGUUCAUCUCUCUAAGCCAAAGAGCCGGCAUGACUAUAUGGAGCGCCGUUACCUUCCCGCCAGAGUGGUACCUAUUGAUCUACUCACAUUUGCAUGUUUUCGAAGCUGGGCCUAACAGCGGGAGCUCACCUCGCUCCCCGGAUUCGAACCGCCAAUCUUUUGGUCAGCAAGUUCAACAGCUCAGCGGUUUAACCCACUACGCCACCAGGGGGCCCAUUCUGGUACUGUAACAAAAUGAUUUCAUCAAAUCUGAAAGAAUAAUGAAAAAAAGAAACAUUGUUUGGAGAGCCAGCAAGGUAUAGUGAUUUGAAUGUUGGACUACAAUUUGGGACACCAGGGUUCAAACCCCACUCACUGACAGAAAACUGCUGGAAUGCCUUGGGCAAAUGACAGUCACAGCAAAUCCCUGACAAAAUAUCACCAAGAAAACCUUAUGGUAAGGUCACCUUAGGAUCACCCUUAUUCAGAAAUGACUUGAAGGUAGUUGACAACAAUGAUUUUCUGAUUGAAAAUGUGCAUUUCACAUUUGUUUAGCAAAUCUAGGAGACACACUUCAAAAAGUGAUUUUCAUCCACCCCAAAAGUAACCUUAUUAGACAGAAAUUCCAAAAUGAAUCUAUGACAAAAAGGCAUUGUUAAUCUUCAGAAUGCAGAGGAAAGCAAUGAAGAGCCUCAACCAGUACUUUCAACUCUCAAAUAGAUCACAUUACUUGGGAUAUGCUUUAGUUCUUGCCUCUUGAAAUAUUUUUCUUCAGCAUAUGAUAAUAUCUCAACUCAAGGAGAAAUCAAUCCAGCUGAGAGUUGGGUAUGCUUAGACUUUCUUAAUUCUAGUGGAUCUUAUGAUUGUGUAGAAAGGUACUGCAUUUUGACCAAAACUUAAUGUACAAAGAAAGAAUUCACAGUUUGGAAAGAAGAGGAAUCUGUAAUCUAUGUCGGCAAACACACAAGUGAUAGUAACAGUUCAGAAAAUUCCAAGGAAUUUUAUUUUCAUGCCCAGAUGCAAUAAAAUGUAAUUGAUGUCUGGUGUUUUCUUUUGUAGCAGUUUAACUAUCAAAAGUAGAAAUAGGACAUAAUACUUAGAUUUGCCUGGAAUCUGUGAAAAGGCCUUUAACAAUCUAAGUAAAUUAUGGAUCAAACACAA